GCUUAGCCUUAAACAUUGAUAGUUUAAUACACCACACUAUCCGCAUGGAAACUACGAGCAUCAGCUUAAAACCCAAAGGACUUGGCGGUGCUUUACACCCACCUAGAGGAGCCUGUUCUAGAACCGAUAAUCCCCGUUCAACCUCACCCUCUCCUUAUUUCCUGCCUAUAUACCACCGUCGUCAGCUUACCCUGUGAGGGUUUAAUAGUAAGCAAGAACGGUAAUAACCCCAGACGUCAGGUCGAGGUGUAGCACAUGAGAGGGGAAGAAAUGGGCUACAUUCCCCAAUUUGGGGUACAACGAAAGAUGCUCUGAAAUGAGUCACCUAAAGGAGGAUUUAGCAGUAAGCAGGAAAUAGAGUGUCCUGCUGAAAUUGGCCCUGAAGCGCGC
rnacentral:rRNA from 1 species